AUUAACUUUAAAUGCUGAAGGACCUCCUUUAUUCAUCCAUCCAACAAAUAAUGACUAAGCAACUGCAAUGUGCCCAGCUUGGAAUCAGGUGCUGCUCCCGCAAUGAUGGCUAAGUUCAAGUUCCAUGGCCUCAGCAGGCUAAGAGUCUCUAUCUGGUGCAGAAGGAAACACGGUUGAGGCAAAAUGUGAUUCCAUGACAAAGUCUUCAAGAUAACAUUGUUACACAAGCAAACAAGUAAAAAAAAAGAAGACACCCUGAGUCCUGAGUAUGGAAUAAAGAGCUUCUCAAGAAUGGAAGAAAUUCCUGAGAUGCAAAAGAAAGGAAGGUAGGAAUUAGGAGGAAAUAGCAAUCAGAAUAUCUUGAAUUCAUGAUGGACGGCAAAGCACUUCUGGAAUGUUUAUAAUCAUUUAAUGAAUGUUCCAAACACACCUUCACUGUGCUACAGUUAACCCAGACUUGGUUCCUGCCUUCUGAAACUGAAGAGCACUGAUUAAUACAGCUCAUCGUCUACAGAAUGAAGCACGCAAACUUCUCAUCCUAUGUUACAGAUUCUCCACAUUGUGUUUCUAUCUCACUUAAUGGUUCCUCCCUAACUAAGCUUAAGCCUCUGUAUAACAAUCCCUAUAGGCUAGCUAUUAUGCUACUUGCAUUUUAUAGGCAAGGAAGGUGUCUAACUCAUCUCUGUCCCAUUCUAGAUGGCUUGAUGUAUUUUGAUCAGAUUUAAUUGAGAACCAGCUCUGACAUUUAAAAAUAACAAAACGCAUUCUAUGGCUCAGAGCAGAAACGGUUGCCAGAGAUUAAGAUUAUAGAGAAUCUAUAUAUAAACCAAAUUCUGGGGAUUUUUUUUUUAAGGUUUUGUUUAUUUAUUUGAGAGAGAGAGUGCGUGCACAGGAGCAUGGGGAG